rnacentral:rRNA from 1 species
GAAGGGGGCAAGCGUUGUUCGGAAUCACUGGGCGUAAAGCGCGCGUAGGCGGGUUAUUAAGUCAGGGGUGAAAUCCCGAGGCUCAACCUCGGAGCUGCCUUUGAUACUGAUGACCUAGAGUCCGGGAGAGGUGAAUGGAACUCCUAGUGUAGAGGUGAAAUUCGUAGAUAUUAGGAAGAGCACCAGUGGCGAAGGCGAUUCACUGGCCCGGUACUGACGCUGAGGCGCGAAAGCGUGGGGAGCAAACAGGGAUUAGAUACCCUGGUAGUCCACGCCGUAGACGAUGAAUGCUAGCUGUCGGUCGGCAUGCCGUUCGGUGGCGCAGCUAACGCAUUAAGCAUUCCGCCUGGGAGUACGGUCGCAAGAUUA